rnacentral:rRNA from 1 species
AUACGUAGGGGGCAAGCGUUAUCCGGAUUUACUGGGUGUAAAGGGAGCGUAGACGGCAAAGCAAGUCUGAAGUGAAAGCCCCGGGCUCAACCCGGGAAUUGCUUUGGAAACUGUUUAGCUGGAGUGCAGGAGAGGUAAGCGGAAUUCCUAGUGUAGCGGUGAAAUGCGUAGAUAUUAGGAGGAACACCGGCGGCGAAGGCGGCUUACUGGACUGUAACUGACGUUGAGGAUCGAAAGCGUGGGGAGCAAACAGGAUUAGAUACCCUGGUAGUCCACGCCGUAAACGAUGAUUACUAGGUGUUGGUUGUCAUAGACAAUCGGUGCCGCAGCAAACGCAAUAAGUAAUCCACCUGGGGAGUACGUUCGCAAGAAUGAAACUCAAAUGAAUUGACGGGG